rnacentral:lncRNA from 1 species
GUCCUAAGGACUUCAUUACAAUAUAGGAGUUCAAAGAUGGAUAAUUUGUAACAAAAAUAUCAAAUAAUUUUUAUUAAUAAAAAAUUAUAUACAAUUUACAAGAUGAGCACAAUCAUCCAACAAUUGGUUUGGGAUCCAUUUCCCAACAUGUACAUAGUUCAAAUUCUAAGAAAAAGUAAAUUUUCUUAGAGAAGAAGAAAAUACAAAGUUACUUGAAGAUAAACCUAAAGCUUUCAUGGAUCCAUCACCAUUGUAGAGAAG